CUGGGACUGAGACACGGCCCAGACUUCGUUUGAAGGCAGCAGUGGGGAAUCUUGGACAAUGGGCGCAAGCUUGAUCCAGCAAUGUCACGUGAAGGACCAAUAAAUUUUUCGCCUGGAAGGAUUUCAUUGGAAAUUGACGACUAAGUCGUAAACUUCGAUCAUCAAGGAGGAACAUGACAGUACUUAGAUGAAAGUCCCGGCAAACCUCGUGCCAGCAGCCGCGGUAAUACGGGGGGGGCAAGCGUUAUUCAAUUUAACUGGGCGUAAAGCGUCUGUAGGCGGCAAGUUUCGUUAUUCGGUAAAAAUUAAAGCUUAACUUUAAAAGACGGAUAAAACGUACUUAGCUAGAGUCAUAGAGAGGAGAGUAGAAUUUCUGAAAUAGGGAUAAAAUCCGAAGAUAUCAGAAGGAAUACCAAAGGCGAAGGCAACUCUCUGGCUAUGUCUGACGCUCAGAGACGAAGGCGUGGGGAGCAAAUGGGAUUAGGUACCCCAGUAGUCCAUGCAGUAAACGAUGAGUGCUAGUCUUCAAUAAAAGACACAGCUAACGCGUCAAGCACUCCGCCUGAGGAGUACGAUCGCAAGAUUGAAACUCAAAGAAAUUGACGGGAGCCUAUCCAAGCGGUGGAGCAUGUGGUUUAAUGCGAUAAUACACGCAGAAUCUUACCAGCUCUUGACAUCAUAAUUCUUUUGAUAGAGAUAUCAAAAGCUUCUUUAUGACAGGCGUUGCAUGGCUGUCGUCAGCUCGUGUUUUGAGACGUAGGGUUAAUUCCCGUAACGAGCGUAACCCCUAUUCAAUGUUGCUGACCCAUCGGACUGACUUUUCUUUUUUUUGGAGAGUGUCAGUUGUUUUAUAUUUGUUUGUUGACCAAAGAUUUUAACAAUGUCAAUUUGACAAGGCUUAAU
rnacentral:rRNA from 1 species